rfam:Merops nubicus contig9123, whole genome shotgun sequence.
CCAAAGGCUCUUUUAAGAGCCACCUACAUAAUCCCUGAAAGAGCUU